AUACAGAGGGUGCAAGCGUUAAUCGGAAUUACUGGGCGUAAAGCGCGCGUAGGCGGUUUAAUCAGUCGGAUGUGAAAGCCCCGGGCUCAACCUGGGAACUGCAUUCGAUACUGUUAAGCUAGAGUAUGGUAGAGGGAAGUGGAAUUCCAGGUGUAGCGGUGAAAUGCGUAGAUAUCUGGAGGAACAUCAGUGGCGAAGGCGACUUCCUGGACCAAUACUGACGCUGAGGUGCGAAAGCGUGGGGAGCAAACAGGAUAGAAACCCUAGUAGUCC
rnacentral:rRNA from 1 species